CAUAAUAAUUUUUAAAAAUUUGAAUGUUCUCCCCAUUUUGUGAUCACACCUCAUACUGUGGGGUGGCUAGGAGUUCGUGUCCCCAGGAAACACUCUACAGCAGGAGAAGGGCCUGAUGUGCUGCCAGCGCGCUGCUGGCUUCUCCACCGCUACUCCUCUCGCAGGGACUGCUGCCUGCUCUUCCGCCUGACUCUCCAGGCCACAGGAGACCUCACUGCGCCGACAGGACCGAGAGGUUGCAUAGCAUUCAAAGGCCAAGACGGGGCAAUGGAGGUCAGCAGCGGGCCCCCCAAGAUCCCCAAGAAACCAGCCCCAAACAGCCAGGCUCAAGACACCCAGCACUGGCAGGCUGAGGGGCAUUCUACAGAGGCCACCGGGGCUCAGAAGACAGAACCAGGGCCAGGGGGCACCAGGUGUCUACAACUAGGCUGUGCUCAUGCAGAAAAGAAGCACACACUUCCCUGCACCCCGAUAUCAGCUUGGGGUGGAGGAGUGGAGGAGACCCAGUGAGAGGGAAAUACAGUCCAGACAGAGAAAGACUGAACUCUGGCUUACUCCUCCCAAGUGGCAAAGAUUGAAUUGGGCCUGUAGAACAGUAAAAUCGAAACCCCUACCCUGGGAAUAUAGCUUCAAGGAGUAGGAAAAUAUUAGUGGUGCAAAUCUUUCCUUUUAUCUUUUUCUAUAAGCUCCAGUUUCCUUCAAACCCGAUGUGUAAGAAAGCCUUAUGGUUCUCAGUUGGACAUACUAAUAGAGUAUAAAUUGUUAUUUUCCCUUAUUAUUUCCAAAGCAUGUAUUCAUUUAAUGUUUUUUUUUUGUUUUUGAAAUGUUAAGCAACCAAAGUAAAAUAGAUGAGUUUGCUCCCUUUCUAAAUGGCCAAGUCCCACCCACCUCCAUCUUUGUUAUUUUCCAUGCAUUCAACUUGAGCUACACUUUUUGCCCUGCAUUCUUUCUCUCAACUUUGAAUAGAAAUUCAGAAAGAAUGAGCCCUGAGUAUGCUCUCACCCACAAAUGCAAAAGAUCAGCAAAUCGCUCCACCAUCUGUCUCUUGCCUGUGAGAUGCAAAGUCCUGCAGACAGAUUCCAUGGCUUCAGUCUUUGCAGGACAUCAGUUAAAGGGAGAUGCUCACUUCCUGACAGUUUUUUUCAUCUCAAGGGGCAGAACUUAAAUUGACUACCAAUGGCAAGCUUAACUCUCUGCUGGGAAAAACUUAGUGAGCUAGAAAAUUACAACAGCCAAACCAGGUGACAAAUGCUUCAAGUAAUACACUUGUGGUGGAGUGGGAAGGACUUAAGAGUGAUUUCUUAUCAUUUCUGAGCUUUCUGGGAAUUCUUCUUCUCUGUCACUAACUUGGGUUUGUUUAUUUCUCGAGUCUGAAGACUGUGUUUCAUGGGACCCUUCAACACGCCACCAAAGCUUCUAAAUAAAACCAUUUUCAUCCUUGC